UUAAUAAACAAAUACAUUAGUAUCUCUAAUAUCUACAGUAUAAUAACAAUAGUAAGGGGACUUUAGUAGCACAUUAAUGAUAACAAGAACAAGGAAGGUGAUGAAAAUGGUGACAAACACUAUCCUAUAUAUAUAAAUAUAUCGGCUAAAACUACCCAAUUGUGAAUAAUGCAUAUUGCUUCAUUUAAUAUAUUUAUCACAGCCACUGCUAUAGUGUACAGUCCUCACAGCACAUUUCAAGGCCUGUGCUCUUUGUACCGCAGCCCUUACAGGACACUAUAGACCAACUUAAGAGACCUUGAUCGAUGAUUAAAAGUAAGGGAUCCACAACCAAAGAAGUCUUAUUAUGAAUAUCUACUAUACCUUAGUGGAGUAUAAGAAGUUUCAUCCUUUAGUAUCACCUAUCCACAUUCAUUAUUUAGUCAAUCUGAGUAUUGUGUUGUACUUUGUACUGAAUGUAAAAGUUGAUCUAAUUCAUCUGAUUUCAUCUUUUCACAGUACAAAUUUGGAGACAUAAUUUCAUUUGGACACCCUUGUCCCGCCCCCACCCCCAAGACCCUGAGGUUUCCGUACUCGCACUAUGGUAUAUAUGUAGGUCAAAGCACAGGGAUAGACGUCGGCCAAGGUGAUAAUGAUAUAUUUCACAACUCAGGUUUUGAGAAACCAGACUGUGUAUUUGGCAAAUUUAAGUCUCUUAGGGGAAUUGUAGUAACAUCAAAGGAAAACUACCUUGAUGGGAUUGAAGGCUUCAAUCCAGGAACCCAGGAAGACAUAACUGAGCGAAUCUCCAACGCCACUAAACACUGUGAAACUUUUGAAAACAUCUGUGCACACCUUACCACCUAUGUGCGCUAUGGCACGAUGUCACUGCAGCAUGAUGAUCGGACUAAAUGUUUUGAAGCUGGACCAGCUAAAAACAUACUGGACCAAGUAACCCUUAGCAGGAUUUACGAGGCCAAUUGUAUAAAACAAGGUAAAAAAAAUGAAAAAAAGAGAACAGCAAACACAGAAAACAAAACAACAAACAAAGGCAAAAAAAAAAACCAAAUAAACAAAAAAAAGGUUCACAGCUAACAAGUAUUUUAGCAGCUGGUCCCUACAGCCUGUCUUGCUCUCUGUUCUUUCCUCAUGACAUGAGGUCUUAUUUGAAAUAAUAAAAAAAUGAAUGAGCAAGAACUGUGUGUGUUUUAUUGUCCUCCAUCUCUCCUUGUACACUAACUGAUGACAUCCAAACGUGGGAUCAGACCACUGUUUUGGGGGUAUUGGUGCGGCCUAAAAUGCCUGAU
rnacentral:lncRNA from 15 species